UACGAAGGGGGCUAGCGUUGUUCGGAAUUACUGGGCGUAAAGCGCGCGUAGGCGGCUUUGUAAGUUAGAGGUGAAAGCCCGGGGCUCAACUCCGGAACUGCCUUUAAGACUGCAUCGCUAGAAUUGUGGAGAGGUAAGUGGAAUUCCGAGUGUAGAGGUGAAAUUCGUAGAUAUUCGGAAGAACACCAGUGGCGAAGGCGACUUACUGGACACAUAUUGACGCUGAGGUGCGAAAGCGUGGGGAGCAAACAGG
rnacentral:rRNA from 1 species